GAUAUAAAUUAUAAAACAGCCCUUCAACUCAGAAUCAGAGACAAGUUUAAACACAAAUAAGAAAAUGAAAAGGCAUUAAAUUCAUAAAAUUUCCCUGAGUAUUAGCUCUCCCUUAUGCUAGCCUAAUUAUCUACUCUGAUUGGGAAACUCUAUUAAUUAGCAUUAUGAACACUAAAAACCAAAAUAAAAAUAAACUUCUCCAAGUGACAGUGACACAGAAAGUAAUUAGCAAACGAA
rnacentral:misc_RNA from 1 species